rnacentral:rRNA from 1 species
CCUACGGGUGGCAGCAGUGGGGAAUAUUGGGCAAUGGGCGCAAGCCUGACCCAGCAACGCCGCGUGAAGGAAGAAUGCUUUCGGGUUGUAAACUUCUUUUCUUAGGGACGAAGAAAGUGACGGUACCUCAGGAAUAAGCCACGGCUAACUACGUGCCAGCAGCCGCGGUAAUACGUAGGUGGCAAGCGUUAUCCGGAUUUAUUGGGUGUAAAGGGCGUGUAGGCGGGAAAGUAAGUCAGAUGUGAAAACUCAGGGCUCAACCCUGAGCCUGCAUUUGACACUGUUUUCCUUGAGUGCUGGAGAGGCAAUCGGAAUUCGGGGUGUAGCGGUGAAAUGCGUAGAUAUACGGAGGAACACCAGUGGCGAAGGCGGAUUGCUGGACAGUAACUGACGCUGAGGCGCGAAAGCGUGGGGAGCAAACAGGAUUAGAUACCCGUGUAGUC